rnacentral:rRNA from 1 species
CCUACGGGUGGCAGCAGUGGGGAAUAUUGCGCAAUGGGCGAAAGCCUGACGCAGCGACGCCGCGUGAGGGAUGAAGGUCUUCGGAUCGUACACCUCUGUCAGCAGGGAAGAACGGUCACUGUGCUAAUCAGCAGUGAAUUGCCGGCACCUGCAAAUGAAGCACCGGCUAACUCCGUGCCAGCAGCCGCGGUAAUACGGAGGGUGCGAGCGUUAAUCGGAAUUACUGGGCGUAAAGCGCUCGUAGGCGGUAUGUCAAGUCUAGAGUGAAAGCCCCGCGCUCAACGUGGGAACGGCCUUAGAAACUGGCAAACUGGAGUGUGUGAGAGGAUAGUGGAAUUCCAGGUGUAGGAGUGAAAUCCGUAGAUAUCUGGAGGAACAUCAGUGGCGAAGGCGACUAUCUGGCACAUAACUGACGCUGAGGAGCGAAAGCGUGGGUAGCAAACAGGAUUAGAUACCCUUGUAGUC